GCCUUCGUGGUGUAGUGGUCAGCAUGCUCGGCGCGUAUUUAAGAGGUCCGAGGUUCAAAUCCCGUCGAGGGCA
rnacentral:tRNA from 1 species